rnacentral:misc_RNA from 1 species
CUUCCUCCAAACAAUGCCGAUAUGCAUGUUAUUGUACUUCACUCAUCAUCCAAAGUGGCCAGAGAUUUUGCAAAACAAGGAGUCAAAUUAUGAGAUACAAUGGAUGGACAUUACAGUUUUGUUAAGUUUUCACAAGCAUAUCUUUUGUACAUUCUAUUCAGUCCUCUUAUCAUCUAGUUGAAAGCACAAAGACAACCUAUGGAAACGGAGCUACCGUUUCCAACCAUGG